ACCCCCCCACCCCAAACCGACAUUGGGAUCCCCUGCGCCCCAGCUCCGGGCAGGGUACGGAUCUUCUUUCGCCACCAUCAGGGCUCACAGUGCCUCCAGACUGAUGUCUUAAUACGCGUGCUUUGCUCUCUUCAAGCCAAGUCUCUCCAGAAUCUCUCCAGCUGCAGACCUGGCUCUGGGCUGACUGGGGUUUGUGCCCCCUCUGGGGAGGCUCCCAGGAUCCACCGACACGUGGGCUGCACUUGUAGUAAGAGGCCAGGGAGAGGGAUCCCCGCUGGAGAGACUCAGCCUCCAUUUAAAGCGGUGUUAAGAGUCCAGGUGUGGUGAGAUUCACACCUGGAAGAGUGUAGAGAUGGGCUUGUGGGUUUCAUGGAGGGGGAAGAAUGGCCAUUUGCAAAGCUAUUCUAAGGCAGGAUUGUUUAUCAGAAGCUUUCUUCUGAUCAGACUUCACCAACUUAUGACCUCCUGGUUUACACAUCAUAAAACAGCUUCAGAAAGAUGGGGUGACUUACCCAAGGUCACACAGCAGGUCGGGAACAGAUUAUAGGACCUUAAAAAAAGUCAAUGAAGGUUUCUCCUGAAUCCACAUGCUCCCGUUAUUUCUUUAUUUUCCAAGGGUAGCACCUCAACUGUUGAAGUGAGUUGAGUUUUGAGUGGAAAAGACUUUGGAACCUAACAAAUCUGGGUUGGAAUCCCGUCCUUGCUACCUCCUUAAUGUUGGAAAACUCCUUUCGGGUCCCUAAACCUGUUUCCUUAUCUGUAAAAAGGGAAUCAUGAUUCCAAUCUUUCCAGUAUAUCCUGAGGACUAGAUUUAAUUCAGUAAACAUUUAUGGGUAUGUAUUACAUGCCAGGCCCUCUUCUUGAGCAUGUACUGUAAACCAGCCCCGCUCCUAGCAAUGAACAAAAGAAAAUCCAUGUUCUCAUGGAGUUUACAUUUGGUCUGGUGUGAUUAGAUAAUCACAGCUAACAUUAAUACAGCACUUACUGUGGACCAGGUACUGUUCUAAACACUUUACCUGUAAAUGCAUUUAAUCCUCACGACAUCUUUAUAAAGUAGGUGCUGUUAUUACUGCAAUAUACAGAUGAUGAAAUUGAGAACAGAGAAGUUAAGCAUUUCAUUUGUUGGGUCCCUCCAAGGUUACACAGCUAGAAAAUGGCAGAGCUGAAAGACAACCCUGCUAGUCUGGGCCCAGAGUUCAUUCUCUUGUUCACUCACUUGGUUACUUCCCUGAUGAGGGCCAAACCGGAGGUAACCUGGGCCAAUGUUGGCACCUGUUAUUAUCACCAGCAUUAGUUAUCAGUUGACCGGAACCAGUUUCUGACACCCCAGUCCCUGCUGCUGAGGGAUAGCGUUGUAAUAUUUGGACCUACUUAGACUAAAAAAUUGUUGUUGUUUAUCUGAAUUCAGAUUUAAUUGGGUAUCCCAUUGAUUUGCUAAAUCUAGUCAUCCUACUCAGGGCUCAGAACAGAUUGCACACAGGUGCCGAAUAUCUGUCUGCAAGCCAGUUUAAAUAAGUUAAACUUGGGAAGAGACAUUGAGACCCAGAGAAUAAGCACAAAGGACUGGGGGAGGAAAAUGAGGUGGAUGAGUGGGAGGUGUGUAGGUGAAAGGAAAACUGGAAUGAUUUGGCCUUCAGUCUGCCCCCUUCCUGGAGCUGCUGGUCUCGUCCUUUCCCUUCUUACUCGAAAGGAUUCCCUAUCAAGUGCAUCAUCCCAACUGAAGGAUCCAGUAGUGAUUGUGCUUUCCUAUGAAUAUUUCAUUUCCUGUGUCGUCUGAAAAGUAUUGGAGAGGCAGCAGGCUCCAGCCACACUGACUUUCCUGCAGUUCCCCUGCCACAGCACCUUGUUCUUUGUUCCUAAAACUGUCUUCCAUCUUCCUCAAGCCAGUUUAUCUCCACAGUCACUUCCUCCAGGACAUCUUUCUUUACCUCCCUGUUAUGGACAAUGGACACUGCUCCUGAGCGCUCCUCAGGAACUUGCAUUCUCUUUGGAGAAAUGGUUAAACAAGCAGGUAAGCUAAUUUCAGAGCCAGCCGGCAUCAGCAUUUCCUCACACCCUGCUUCUGCCUUGGCCACCUUCCUCUGGAAGGGAAGUUGCUCCCUCCAGCUGGGAUGUAAUACAGCAAGAGAGGAACUGGGGUCAUUGUAACCAGCCCCCUGCUUCCGGGCCAAGAGGAUCAAGCCUUUUCCUGGAAGGAAAAAGUCACUGUCAGUGAUUUGUGAAGUCCAGCACCCACUAGAUAACCUUCCCCUAUCUCAGAUCCUCAAUCUAAGAACAAUUCCUUUAUGACUUUGGAGGAACAUCGUCACCUUUGUCAUCAAGGCCUGCCACCUGGGUACCUGCCACCUGUGUGCAGCGUCUCCUUCUUUACAGAGUCUUCUCUCACACUAUCUCCUUGAGCUCUUACGGGAUAAGACAUGGCUUGGGGUUACUGUUCCCCUACUGAUGAAGAAACUGAGACUUGGAGGGAGGACCUGACUUACCCAGGGUCACAUAGCUUGAAAUAGCUUGCAGAGCCAGGAUUAGAAAGCAGAGCAACGUCAGCUUUGGAAGGGCCUUCGAGACUGUCUCAGCCAGAGAUAGGAAGCUGAUGGCCUGAGGCAAGAGGCGAAUCAGGAAAGGGUGGUGGCCAGUCCUCCAUGUGCAAGACGUAAGGCAUGCAUUGUCUGUGGAGCGGUUCAAAACAUUAGUGAAACUGGGUGCGUCAGCUUUUAUUAUCACCGUGCCCUGGCAAUUCUAAGCAAUGUCCUUGGUGAUAAAACCCUCCCUCCUGAAGAGAUCUUUAUUGGUCUAACUUA